CAGAAUCGCCAUAGCCGGCGAAACUGAAUUGAUAGAGACCUGGACAAUGAGUGGUGAAUAUGCCCGUUUCAGCGACGUAUCCAAUUCCUUUGUCAAUCAAUGUCUCGGCGAGGAGUAAUUUUGAAUCCUGAAAAACAGAAGAAAAAUUAUAAGGAAAUUUUGGAGAAGAAUUUUGAACGUACUUUAACGGAGCCUUGAGUUGCUGAGAAGGCAAUAACACCAACGCAGUCGGUUGCAGUUGCCAAUUUUUUUGAACCAACGGUCGUGAUACCGGAAGUCUUCGGAUCUGAUACAGCAGCUUCGGCCAAGAAGGCCACUGCCGCUAAAAUCAGCGCCGUCCACACCACCCUGGAAAAUUGGGAAUUUAUUAUUCUCCAAACAUUUUUAUUUUUGAGGAUUCUUGAAAUUAUGGUCACUUUGAUUGAAUCAAUCUAUUCAUCUUCGCAGCGAACGAUUUUCUUCUCAUUACAUCUCGAUGGUUUACAUAAUGAGAAUUUAAAUAUGUUGAAUAUAUUAUCCAAGCAAAAUUCCAUUAUUGACGUGUGGGAUUAACAAUUUCAAUCAUUGUAUCAUAAUAAACAGCGAGAGAAAAAAAUAUACAUACUUUAGAUGCAGGUCAGUAAAAAACAAAG